GGUUGCUGCUGUUAUACUAAAUGUUUGUUUCUGCAUACAUGGAUUUAGAGUAGACUCUAGUAUAGGGUUCUCAUAGUCAUUCUUUUAAUUUGCGUUUGCCUGAGUUGAUCCAGUUAUUCUUGCUUUGUAUUUAUGGGCGUUUACAUUAUAAUAAUUUCACUCCUACAGUGUACAUAGUCAUCUUACACAUUCAGGUAUUGACCAUCCAAUCUUUUAUGGUAAUACACUUUACAACGGACAAAUGUCAGCUUUUACCUCAAAAACUAACAAAACAUAAAAGCAAACUUAUAUAAAGUAGAAAUACUGUUGCCUGCAUAUAUAUGGCUUAUUUUGGCUUCAAUAUUGAUUCACUUGCACAUCUAUGCUUCAGACUAAAACUCCUUUAUUUUUAAACCAGUUGCAGGUAUGAUAAGAGUUAUGUUUUUCUAAUAUAUUUUAUGGUGAUAUGAUAUUAAACCCCCAUGACAGGUUGGUGCUAGAUUUUCGUAUAUUCAAGACAUAGUUUUUCGAACAGUUUAAUUGAGGUCUGGAGCUGGCAUGUUGGUAACUGUUCGUAGUCCCUUGUUGAUUUUUGUAAUAUCGUCAUUUUCAAUUUUUGUGUUGUUUAAUUUGUUACUUAUUCUGAUAUUGGACUCUUUAUGAUUUUUACUGUGCGUAUUGUUGUGCGUUGCUUCUUCUUCAUUUAGUUGAGAUUUUGAAACACUUGUUUAACCCCUCGCCAUUUAAGUAUCUGUUCCAAGUCUGGGGCCUCUGGCCUAUGUUAGCUUGGGAUGAACUUUUAUUUUAGAUUUGAGUUUAGUAUGACAUUUAUUAUUUCAUUAUCACUAUUCAGUGAUGGUAAAAAAAAAAAAAUCAUUAUGGAUGAAGCCAUUUCUGGUUUUUAGAGGGAUUGCUUCAGAUGCUUGGCCCCAACUGCAGAUGUUUAUCCUGCUAUUACCCCAAGGGAAUUUUUACAGUUAUUUCAGACCUUUAGUAACCGUUUAUUUGUAAGUUCCACACCACCCGUACAUACCAUGUAUCAGAGAGGACAGUCUUUCUUUUUUUGAUGAGUUCGGUUCUCUAGUUGAUUUAUUGAAUUCAUUUCCUAUCUCUUUAUGAAUUGUUAAGGUAUUGCUUACUUGUACAUUUUGUAUCUCUCUCAACAAAAAUUGUGACAUUACUAAUUUACUAGGAUUGGAUAUUUUUUUUUUUAGUAAUUUAAUGUGUGUCAAAAUUGAGGUUUGAGUUUUUAAGAAGGUAUUAAACACUCCAGGCCAGAGUCAUGCUGAAGUUUAGCAAUAUUUUCUUAUCUUGUGUUGGUAUGAAUUCAGUGUAUUUGAAGCUGUCCUUUCAUUGAUUUUGGAGGAUUUUUAAAUGGGUUGGAGAUCCAAUACUGACACUUAAUACAGGGUUUUACAGAAGAAUUAUUAUUUUUCUUGAUUUAUUAUGCUUUAAAUUGUAUUCAUAUUACUAUGUAGCUAUACUUCCAUGUAGCUAUUUGCCGUACAGAAUUGUAGGAGAUUUUUAAUGUUUGAUGUUUGAAUAGUAGAAUCCUCAAUAGUAAGUAUGUUUUUGUAGCAGACUGACAUCCUCCAGAUGGGGUUGACUUAGGUCUAGCCACAGAAAUGCAUUUUUGUGGUGGCAUAUUUGUCGCAUGUUAAAAAGUUAACUCAGAAUAUAUAAUGAAACUAUAAGGAUCCAACAUAUUUUUAAUAAACUUGUAGUGGUAUUGACACAGGUAGUUCUAGAGUGGGUCUUUGCCAAUGAGAUGAAGAACAUGAUCAGAUGGAGUGUGAGAUUCAUCAUUCUUAAGUAAGGAUUGUCUCAAUUUAGACCAAUGCAAACAUGGACUGGUGCUGCUAUAGAAUUUACAACUAUUUAUUGCCGUUAUAAUAAGCUGUCGGGUUGCUACAUAAAAUAUUAUGAUUUUCGAUCAGACCAGAACUUUUUCAACUAGAUGUUUUUCACUUGUCACCCUUAACCUGCUUAUGAAAUGAAUUCUUAACAUCUUUAUAUUAUUUGUUGAUAUACUAUAAUACUAUAUUUUAUGAUAUACAAAU
rnacentral:lncRNA from 1 species